GUAUUAAAAGUGGAAGAAAAUUACAGGUAAUUAUCUUUGACGGUAAAAACGCUGUAAUCAGCGGGCUACAUGAAAAAUUACUCUAAUUAUGGCUGCAUUUAAGAGAAUGGAAAAAAACCUUCUUGUGGAUAAAAACCUUAAAUUGUCCCCAAUGUCUGCUUCAAAUUGGAUGGCACUGCAGCUGGAGGCUUUGUUCAGAAUUGAUCCUGGGGAGCUACGAACCCAAAGUUUCACAGUAGGAAGGGGGAAAAAAGAAAAGAAAACAUUUUUCCUAAUGUAACAAUGCGAAUGCUAGAAAAUGACAAGACUGAUCGGUUUUAAACCAUUCUGAAGACUGACUGAGCGUGGAAGUUGCUCAACAAAAAAAGGAACGGGUAUAUUGAUCCAGAGAAUGAACCUCAUGGAAAGCUGCAAAAAGAACUUGGGGAGGGUCAGGCAGUCUGUUUUCUUGUACCCAGCCAAGGCACUCUGAAGCCAUUAUAGAGCCUGUACUGCUUGACAUCCAAGGCAGUGCUAAUCCUGCACUCACAUGUUUUCAUGAAGAUUUUAGUUGCCUGCUUAGACAAAGAAGAUCAAAGAAAGUUGCUGAAACAGAAGGAAAAUGCACUCCCUUGGAGAAGCAUGACCUUUUUGUGUUGCUUCCUACUGCUGUUGUUGAGCUCCUUGGACCCUGCCUCCUGGACACCAUCAUCAAGAAGACUUUAUGGAUGGGCCAUCCACUCCCUGAGAGAAGAGGAGCAUCAGCUGCAGUUUCUCUCUAGAUUGCCUUCUUCAUUUUGAGUAAUGACUGUCAGCAGGGUCAGAUUAAAGACAAAACAAUGGGACAACUGCUUGGAGGACUAAAUUAUAAAGGCACCAACAUGUCAGUAGUAUGAUUUAUCAGCCCUUCUCUCAGAGAGGAAUCUGUGUGGGGUUGGAAGGAAUGGUUUGUUAAAUUCCUUAAGGGUGGAAAGCAGGUCAUAAUCAGAAUAUAGAGGAAUAUGCUGUUUGGCUGCAGGGUUUCUGUUUUUCUUACUAGGAUACAUAAACAGGGACUAUAGCUAGAUUGUUUAUGACCCCAGAAGGUAGGAUGAGCACCCCCAUGAUCCUCUUGCUCAGUUCUUACCCAUACAGACCUCAACCUUUCCUCUAAUAAAGAUUGAACAAGUAGUGAUUUGAGGGAGACACCAAUUCAUUAGCCUACAUGUCUCUUCUCUACACUCUAGGGCUUCGAUAAUAAAGACACUGGCAGGCUGUCUGUCUUCCACUUCUAUAAUGUGAGCCCUUAAGCACUCUUCGUUCAGUUGGGGGUGAGGGUCAUUGCUCACAGAGCAGUUCAAGUCUUUACCUAGGGACCCGGUGGUCAAACUCUGUAUUGAGUUCAUUAGAUUACUGGAGACACAAGGUAGAGCUGGGCCCUUCAAAAAUACUUGGCUAAAGGAUGACAUUGCUCGUUAUUUGUAGAUAAAGCCAUCAUGGAACACGCCUGGAAUCAUGAAAUAUGGAACCAGUAGUCAUGUUUAAUAAUGCAACUAACAGUCAAGUACCUACUGGACACUGAAGAGACUUAGGGGCAAGAUAGAUAUGGUACCUGCCCUCAUGGAGUUUACACCAUAGCUUUCCCGUAGGUAUGAAGAACAGUGGCUACAGCUAGCAAAUGGCUACAAAGAUAUUCUUGAGCCAAUGUUCCAAUUAUUAGGCUAAUUCCUGUUUCCUUAAUCAUGCCUACUGACCAUGUUCUAUAAGCCUGCAUUCUAUAAAUGGCCUAUGAGCAUGGGCUGUUUCCCCCCAGCAAAUUUUGCAAAGUCCUGUGGUACCAGGGAAAGGGCUUAAGAUUAGCAGGGCCUCUGGGGAAGGACAUAUGAAGUGACUUGGGUCAGGAAACAGGAAGGGAUAGGGUUCAAGAAACAGCUAUUGCUUUUGUUCUAUAUAGGAAACUGCAAUGUGAAAAAUGCUGGGCUGGGAAUUUUGAGACAUGGGUUUUAGUUUGUGUUCUAAUACUAACAAGCUGUGUGACUGUGAGUAAGACAUUGCACAUUCCACUUGGAUGCUCCUUGAGUGUCUCCAAACCCCUCCUACUCUAAAACGUUAAGAUCAGGCCCUAGGCUACAGCUGGCCAGUUUGUAAUUUUCCUGUUUCUAUGCUGUUAGGCCAAAUAGAUCUUCAACAGUUACUUGAUUAUUACUUUUUUUCUGAAGUGGGUGUUUUGUCAAUGUUUUAGGAUACAGUGAGUCUGCUUCUCCCCUUUGAAGUUAGGAAGGUUGCAGCAACAUACACUGUAGAACGUAUGGAAGCUUUAUUCCCGUUUUUCCCACCCCCCGUCUUUCUCCCACUCCUUCUCUUCCUCAUAUUUCUAUUGAACAUAUGCCAUUGCCAUGUACCAGUUAUGUGCUAGGUUUAGAGAUACAAGAUAAACCUGAUACUUUCCCAGACUCCAGGAGACAAAACCCUCCUUUUUUCAUCUGCUGGCUUUCUCUUUGGAAAGAAUCAGUGAUGUCCCAGGGGAGUGUGCCCAUGUUCCAGGGUAACCAACUAUAGACAGAUGCCCCAUUCUACUCAAGCAACUUUAGAGUACCUUGAGAUCCACAUCAGAUAAUUAUUCAGGGCUGGGCAUGGUGGUGCACACCUGUAAUUGCAGCACUUUGGGAGGCCAAAGCAGCAGAUUUCUUGAGCCCAGGAGCUCAAGACCCACUUGGGCAACAUGGCAAAACCCCAGCUCUGCAAAAAAAAAUACAAAAAUUAGCUGUAGUUGGUGGCCUGUGACUGUAGUACAAGCUACUCAGGAGACUGAGGUGGGGGGAUUGCUUGAGCCUGGGAGGUUGAGGCUGCAGUGAGCCGAGAUCAUGCCAUUGUGCCAUUGCACUCCAGCCUGGAUGACGUAGGGAGACUCUAUCCCAGAAAAAAAAAAAAGAUAAUCAUUCUAUCCUAGAGUCAUUGUGGAAAGAUCUAUCUUCAGAUAUAAGGAAGAAAUAGUCUUUAUUUCUUAGGAUAAAUCUGUAGAAGGACAGUCCUUCAGACAGUGAAGGCCCUGACAACUUUAUACUCUGUAACCCAUCCCUUCCCUGGUAGGUAGGACUACUUCUUAAACUUACAAAGUACCUCUAGGCAAAUAGACAUUUUCAUAUAUACUGUGCUUCAUAUAUCCCUAUGUCUGAUGACCUCUUUAAAAAGGAAAGGAAAAAGCCUAAUCACACAAAAAGAUGUUGCUAUUCUUACCCUAUUGUGAAUCCUAUAUAAGCAAAUUCAUAUCUUUGUUUUUUUCCAACAUUAGCAGAUCUAUUUGAUGUAUAUCUCUGAGUGCAGAAAAUAUUUUACAGAAAGAUAAAUCUAUGGAAUUUCAAAUUCAGAAUUGUUGAUACCUGCUAUUUGGUUUGAGAAUUUUGUCCUGGGAAAUAGUAUUAGGGAUUUCAAUUUCUGACUUAAAUGGUAGAAUUAGUUACUCUUAACUCUUGAUUUUACUUCUGAGUUGAGGUCAAGGAACAGGCAGAUACCUCCAGUUAAUGUCUGUAUCUCUCCAUGACCAAGAGCUUUAAUUUUCUUGUCUUCAUUUUUGCAGAUGAACAUCAUUACUAAAUGGAUUGAUUAGUAUUUUAUCUUCUCUCCUUGUCCUUACUUUCCCUCUGGUAAAUAUGUUAUAAACAGUGUAAGGCUCAUAAAUUAGAAUCGCUGGUAGGACUUGGAAGAGAAACAAAGGGCAUUGAUAACUCACACAAAUGGAAAAUCAACCCUGAAAUAAUUGACAAUAUAUUCAAAUAUUUUGGUGCAGUCUCACUCCCAUUAAGAAGAAGAGACUCAGUAAAUCUAUAUGACCCUAAACAUUCUAAUGAAAAGGGGAACAUUCUGUCAAUCAACUCAUAUUUCUAAAUAUCUUGAUAUUGGCCAUUGUAAAGACAAACAUACAGAUGAUGGACUUGUCUUUCUACUUCUCAUUUGCAUGGUCUGGAGCCUUGUACCUCCAGCCAUUGACUCUAAGGCAAUUUAUAUUUGUUUCCUCUUCCCUCUUGAGAGAAAACAAAAAUCUCACUUUUCCAAGCAAUUAAAACUCUUCUGCUUCAGCUAGGAUGAAAGAAUUUGGAGUUCUGUCUCCUUGUAUAUAAUUGCAUGUUUCAUCUUCCUUGUUUUAAUGAUUGACAGAAAACUGAUAAACUGAGACAUCUUUGAAUCAAGGUUGAAUAUACUCUCUUGGUGGCCCCAUUGCUAAUUUGUUUGACUAUUUUGCAGGAUUUCUUUCUCUGUAAUGGAAAGGUUUAUUAAAUAUGAGGGGUGCAAA